UACGAAAGGGGCUAGCGGUGUUCGGAAUUACUGGGCGUAAAGCGCACGUAGGCGGACUAUCAAGUUGGGGGUGAAAUCCCGGGGCUCAACCUCGGAACUGCCUCCAAAACUGUUAGUCUAGAGGAUGUGAGAGGAUAGUGGAAUUCCGAGUGUAGAGGUGAAAUUCGUAGAUAUUCGGAAGAACACCGGUGGCGAAGGCGACUGUCUGGCACAUUUCUGACGCUGAGGUGCGAAAGCGUGGGGAGCAAACAGG
rnacentral:rRNA from 1 species